CCCCUGCCCUUCAAUGACUCGCUAAGGAUCCCAUUCCCAGCUGCCGUGUGUCGUGCUUGAUGUACUUCAACACAUGGAUUCACCUUAACCUAUUCUUCUGUUGUCAUUUGUCUCCAUAUAUUGACAGACUGCCAGGCCAUCUCUACUGCUCCCCCAGGCUAAGACCAUCUCUUCCCUCACCAAGGCACGUGGGUUCCCUGACAGUAGGUGAAAGAAAGAUAUAGGUUAGUGAUGCAGGAGUAGCCUCCACAAAUCUUCCUCUAGCAACAGAAUCACCACUGACCAAGAUUUACAGACUGCCACACCAUCUCCACUGCUCCCUCAGGCUACGACCAUCUCUUCUCUCACAGGGAGUGAGUGAAAGAAGAGAGGAUGUGCAGUUGGCCAGCAAAGUGAUGCAGAGGUGCUCCCUCCUGUCCAGCGCUUCCAGAGUCUCCCUCCUGUCCAGCACUUUCAGAGCC